AAUCAACGCUGGCGGCGUGCCUAACACAUGCAAGCCGAACGCGAAAGCCCCGCAAGGGGUAAGUAGAGUGGCAAACGGGUGAGUAACACGUGGGUGACCUGCCUUCGAGUGGGGGAUAACGUCCCGAAAGGGACGCUAAUACCGCAUGACAUCCUGCUUUUGAAAAAGCGGAGAUCAAAGCUGGGGAUCGCAAGACCUAGCGCUUGAAGAGGGGCCCGCGCCUGAUUAGCUAGUUGGUGAGGUAACGGCUCACCAAGGCGACGAUCAGUAUCCGGCCUGAGAGGGCGGACGGACACACUGGGACUGAGACACGGCCCAGACUCCUACGGGAGGCAGCAGUGGGGAAUUGUUCGCAAUGGGCGCAAGCCUGACGACGCAACGCCGCGUGGAGGACGAAGAGCUUCGGGUCGUAAACUCCUGUCGAGCGGGACGAACGCUUCGCGGAUGAAUAAUCCGCGGAAUUGACGGUACCGCUAAAGGAAGCCCCGGCUAACUCCGUG
rnacentral:rRNA from 1 species